rnacentral:rRNA from 1 species
GUGGGGAAUAUUGGACAAUGGGCGAAAGCCUGAUCCAGCCAUGCCGCGUGAGUGAUGAAGGCCCUAGGGUUGUAAAGCUCUUUUAACGGGGAAGAUAAUGACGGUACCCGUAGAAUAAGCCCCGGCUAACUUCGUGCCAGCAGCCGCGGUAAUACGAAGGGGGCUAGCGUUGCUCGGAAUCACUGGGCGUAAAGCGCACGUAGGCGGACUCUUAAGUCGGUGGUGAAAUCCUGGAGCUCAACUCCAGAACUGCCUUCGAUACUGGGAGUCUCGAGUUCGGGAGAGGUGAGUGGAACUGCGAGUGUAGAGGUGAAAUUCGUAGAUAUUCGCAAGAACACCAGUGGCGAAGGCGGCUCACUGGCCCGAUACUGACGCUGAGGUGCGAAAGCGUGGGGAGCAAACAGGAUUAGAUACCCCUGUAGUCC